rnacentral:rRNA from 1 species
ACCUACGGGAGGCAGCAGUGAGGAAUAUUGGUCAAUGGGCUUACGCCUGAACCAGCCAAGUCGCGUGAGGGAAGACUGCCCUAUGGGUUGUAAACCUCUUUUGUCAGGGAGCAACGCCGGCUACGUGUAGCCGGACUGAGAGUACCUGAAGAAAAAGCAUCGGCUAACUCCGUGCCAGCAGCCGCGGUAAUACGGAGGAUGCGAGCGUUAUCCGGAUUUAUUGGGUUUAAAGGGUGCGUAGGCGGAAUGCCAAGUCAGCGGUAAAAUCGCGGGGCUCAACCCCUUUAAGCCGUUGAAACUGGUGA